rnacentral:lncRNA from 1 species
AACAGAAAGGUUCUUGGUUCAUGGUUCAAUCAGCUCCUACCAGGCUCCUCCUCCAACAUUGGGGAUUACAAUUCAACAUGAAAUUUCAGCAGAGACACUGACUCAAAUCAUAUCAGGGAUAGGAAAUACGACCUGUCUCACUUUGAUCCAUAUUGAAGGCUUCGGAUUUCCUUCAUUCUCCAAGUGAUGCAAAACCAAGGCUGUACAAGCAUGGUGAUGGCAUCUGUCCAGCAUCUGGGGAGCCUGCAGGGAGCUUUUACUCAGGACAGAAGGUGAAGCAGGAGCAGGUAUAUUCUCACCUAAGUGCUGAAACGACCUCAUAGCACAAAGGGGAGACAGAAAUUUUAAAAGUGGAAUGAAGGGAGGAUAACUUCAAAUGACAGUUGCCACAGCUGAAGAGAUGCUUUCACUCAUGAAACAAAUAAGCAAGCAGGAUGCCAUCCAUGAAGAUGAUGCUUCUGACUCACUGUAAAAAUAAAAAAAUACGUAUACUA